CGUACGGGAGGCAGCAGUAGGGAAUAUCGGGCAAUGGUCGCAAGACUGACCCAGCCAUGCCGCGUGCAGGAAGACGGCCCUGUGGGUUGUAAACUGCUUUUAUAUGGGAAGAAAAAGUCCAUGAGAGGAAAAUGGCCGGUACCAGAUGAAUAAGCACCGGCUAACUCCCUGCCAGCAGCCGCGGUAAUACGGAGGGAGCAAGCGUUGUCCGGAUUUAGUGGGUUUAAAGGGUGGGUAGGCGGCUGAAUAAGUCAGCGGUGAAAGAGUUUGGAUUAACCGGAGCAGUGCCGUUGAUUCUGUUUAGAUUGAGUGUGGGAGGGGUACAUGGAAUUGAUGGUGUAGCGGUGAAAUGCAUAGAUACCAUCAGGAACACGGAUAGGGAAGGCAUUGUAUUGGCCAACAACGGACGGUUAGGCAAGAAAGUGUGGCGAUCGAACAGGAUUAGAUACCUUGGUAGUACCUCAAA
rnacentral:rRNA from 1 species